rnacentral:rRNA from 1 species
GACAGAGGGUGCAAACGUUGUUCGGAAUCACUGGGCAUAAAGCGCACGUAGGCGGUCCGUUAAGUCAGAUGUGAAAGCCCCCGGCUCAACCGGGGAACUGCAUCGGAUACUGGUGGACUCGAGAGUUGUAGGGGUGGACGGAACUCCAGGUGGAGCGGUGAAAUGCGUAGAUAUCUGGAGGAACACCGGAGGCGAAAGCGGUCCACUGGGCAACUUCUGACGCUGAGGUGCGAAAGCUAGGGUAGCAAACGGG